CAUCUCAUCGCCUUGACCUACUGACUGAUGCCCUUUUGCAUUAGGGACGGAGGAAAUCAACUGACCUAGGUGCAGCUACUGCAAAGAGUAGACAAAGCAGAGAAAAUAUUGAUUCUUGCUCAGGAAGAUAUCUCAUGUCAUCAGAGAGGCACCAGGUAAACAAUGCACAUAAGAAGCAGUGUUGAUUUCUGAAGGAGACAUGGAGAGAUGGAAAAAGCUAGCCCAACAGAAACCAAUAAACACUGUCUGUAGAUGGAAAAGGGACUACAUCAUCAGACUGAUUCAGUUCUACAAGUUCAAAAUUGAGGACUCUGCUGAACAUUGAGGAAAAAAUACCGUAUCGGGAGAAGAUGGCAAGAGUCUGAUUCAAACUUCCAGUCUACCCUUAAAGAUGUGGACCGUGAGCUCAGAGUCCAACUGUAAGGCUAGAACUGAAUCAAGGGAGAGAGCAGUCGUCCUCCACCUGAGAAGAAUAUAUCCAGCUUUGCUUCAGAUGGGCAGGGCAUUGCCAUUAGACUCUCCAAGCAGGUAGCCAAUUGAUUUUCAGGAAUCAUGUGAUCCCUCUUGGCAUGUCUACUUCUGCUUUAAUGACACUAUUGAAGAAGAUGAUGUUUCGAGGAGUCUAAAAAGGCGAGGGAUUGAUGCCUUACAUAUGAAGACUCGGGCAGCUGAGAAAAAGUGCGUGCUUUACCAGGAAAUGAGAAGUCUAAGGGGCCAGUCACACCAAAAGCGUUUAUGGCAGUUGCAGGCGCCUUUUUUGAAUGAUAUUCUAUGGGCAGGGCGCGUUUGCGCGCUGUUUAUGAGCGCCUUGCUGUUUUUUGCCGCCUGCCACGCACGCAUUUUUGAAGGAGCGCUGAGAGCGGAGAAGCGCCCGACGUCAUUCGCGUCUUUCCAUUGUCCAAUCGAAUGAGGGGAGAGGCGGGCCUUACGUUGUGGUGAGUGAAGUUUACAGUUGCUUUGAAGAACCGGAAUCCACUCGCUCACUCUCUCCUGCGUGUUUGUGCACCUCUCACCCUCAAACAAGGUCAGAGCAAGCGCCCUCUUUUUAAAGUUUCUGCUAAUAUGACAGUUAACAGCAAAAGAGCGCUCACGCUUCAAUAUUUGAUUGACAAGACAGCUGACUCGGUGGUUGCUUAGCAAUAUGAAAAGCCGCGUCGCACUGCUCUUUUUUUAAAAAAAGGCAGUGCGUCGCGCCUUGUGUUUGCAAGCGUUUAAAGCGCUUUUGGUGUGACUGGCCCCUAACUGAACACCCCAUCAGCAGCAGGCCUCUAACAUUUGUGCUCUAACAUCAAAGACACUGAGCAGCCUGGUGCAAAAGCUGCUCUCAUUCAACACCUCCAACACCUGGAAAGAAAACUACAUCAAGCCAUUGUGAUGUUUCACCCACAUCUAUCGGACAUUGUUCCUGCAGACAACCCCCACUUGUGUCAGGCCCUCCCCAUGCCAAGCAUACAGACACUGGUAUACAAUGAUAAGAGUGAUAAUGAUGAAAAUGUGGAUAAAUAUGAUAACUAGCACUACAGAUUUUUUGUUAAUUUUUAGUCUGAUAUUGUAUUCUGUAAAAAGAAAGAUGUAAAAUGUAUAGUAUAUGUUGCAGCAUAUCAUAGAAACCUUUAUGGUGGUGUAAUAUAAUGUUCGCCUUACUUGUGCAAACAUGAUGUUUUACUAGAUCUGAUUUAUUAUUAAACGUAGGUACUGUUUUUAAGCACACAUAUUCACACUAGUCUGUGUGAGGACAAAAUUGUGUGUUUACCAUUGUGAUGUUACUUAUUUACUGUAAUGUACAAAUGUGGUCAAUGUGUGUAAGGUGUUUUGUUUUUGAAUCUUUUUAAACAAAUACUGUAAAAGUUUGUAAAAAAUAAAAAGUUUUCCACAAUGAGUUAUAGUCAUGAUUUCAGCUAUUGUCACAGCACACUUUAGAGGUCAAUGAAUAGUGAUGAACUUAAUAAAUGACUUAUACAAUGAUUUUACAGUCAUAAUCCACAAGACAGACUGCCACAUACAUGUUCUUACAUAAC